rnacentral:tRNA from 1 species
GCAUCAGUAGCUCAGUCCGACAGAGCAGCGGAUUGCUUAAUCCGCAGGUCAUGGGUUCAAGUCCCUUCCGGUGCA